GUGGUUUAAUUCGACGCAACGCGAGGAACCUUACCUAGGCUUGACAUGUGGUGAGUAGCGAACCGAAAGGGGAGCGACCCGUCAAAUCGGGCCAUCACACAGGUGCUGCAUGGCUGUCGUCAGCUCGUGCCGUGAGGUGUUGGGUUCAGUCCCGCAACGAGCGCAACCCUCGCCCUUUGUUGCCAUCGGGUAAAGCCGGGCACUCUAAGGGGACUGCCAGCGACAAGUUGGAGGAAGGAGAGGAUGACGUCAAGUCAUCAUGGCCUUUAUGCCUAGGGCCACACACGUGCAACAAUGGCCGGUACAGACGGAGGCAAUGCCGAGAGGCGGAGCAAACCCGAGAAAACCGGUCCCAGUUCGGAUUGAGGUCUGCAACUCGACCUCAUGAAGUCGGAAUCGCUAGUAAUCGCAUAUC
rnacentral:rRNA from 1 species